CCUACGGGUGGCAGCAGUGAGGAAUAUUGGUCAAUGGCCGGAAGCCUGAACCAGCCAAGCCGCGUGAAGGACGAAGGUGCCAAGCAUUGUAAACUUCUUUUGUCAAGGGACAAAAUCAGGCUCGAGAGCCUGACCGAGGGUACUUGAAGAACAAGCAUCGGCUAACUCCGUGCCAGGAGCCGCGGUAAUACGGAGGAUGCGAGCGUUAUCCGGAUUUAUUGGGUUUAAAGGGUGCGUAGGCGGGCUGUUAAGUCAGCGGUAAAAGCCCGGGGCUCAACCCCGGCGAGCCGUUGAAACUGGCUGUCUUGAGAGGGCGAGAGGUAUGCGGAAUGCGCAGUGUAGCGGUGAAAUGCUUAGAUAUUGCGCAGAACUCCGAUUGCGAAGGCAGCAUACCGGCGGCGAUCUGACGCUGAGGCACGAAAGCGUGGGUAUCGAACAGGAUUAGAUACCCUUGUAGUC
rnacentral:rRNA from 1 species